rnacentral:rRNA from 1 species
UCGUAGUUGGAUUUGUGGUGUGUCCAGUUGGCCUUUGCUCUUUGAGUGAUAGUGCUUUACUGGUCUGCCAUGUUUGGGUGGAAUCUGUGUGGCAUUAAGUUGUCGUGCAGGGGAUGCCCAUCGUUUACUGUGAAAAAAUUAGAGUGUUCAAAGCAGGCUUAUGCCUCUGAAUAUAUUAGCAUGGAAUAAUGAUAUAGGACCUUGGUACUAUUUUGUUGGUUUGCGCACUGAGGUAAUGAUUAAGAGGGACAGUUGGGGGUAUUUGUAUUCCAUUGUCAGAGGUGAAAUUCUUGGAUUUUUGGAAGACAAACUACUGCGAAAGCAUUUACCAAGGAUGUUUUCAUUAAUCAAGAACGAAAGUUAGGGGAUCGAAGAUGAUUAGAUACCAUCGUAGUCUUAACCAUAAACUAUGCCGACAAGGGAUUGGUGGAGUUUCGUUUCGUCUCCAUCAGCACCUUGUGAGAAAUCAUAAGUCUUUGGGUUCCGGGGGGAGUAUGGUCG